UCCCUGGUAGCUCAGAGGGUAAAGCAUCUGCCUACAAUGCAGGAGACCCAGGUUCAAUCCCUGGGUUGGGAA
rnacentral:tRNA from 1 species